UACGUAGGGUGCGAGCGUUAAUCGGAAUUACUGGGCGUAAAGCGUGCGCAGGCGGUUUGGUAAGACAGAUGUGAAAUCCCCGGGCUCAACCUGGGAACUGCAUUCAAAACUGACAAGCUAGAGUAUGGUAGAGGGUGGUGGAAUUUCCUGUGUAGCGGUGAAAUGCGUAGAUAUAGGAAGGAACACCAGUGGCGAAGGCGACCACCUGGACUGAUACUGACACUGAGGUGCGAAAGCGCGGGGAGCAAACAGG
rnacentral:rRNA from 1 species